GAUGAACGCUAGCUACAGGCUUAACACAUGCAAGUCGAGGGACCGGCGCACGGGUGAGUAACACGUAUCCCACCUGCCCUUUACUCGGGGACAGCCUUUCGAAAGAAAGAUUAAUACCCGAUGUAAAGGAUGGGGAUGCGUUCCAUUAGGUUGUAGGUAAGGUAAUGGCUCACCAAGCCUUCGCUGGAUAGGAGUUCUGAGAGGAAGGUCCACAACAUUAGAACUGAGACACGGGCCAAAUUCCUACGGGAGGCAGAAAUUAAGAAUAUUGUUCAAUGGGCGUUAGCCUGACCCAGCCAAGUAGCGUGAAGGAUGAAUGCUUAUGGGUCUUAAACUUCUUUGAUAUAAGAAGAUGUAUUAAAUGAAUAAGGAUCGGCUAACUCCGUGCCAGCAGCCGCGGUAAUAC
rnacentral:rRNA from 1 species